UACGUAGGGUGCAAGCGUUAAUCGGAAUUACUGGGCGUAAAGGGUGCGUAGGCGGCGCGGUAAGUCGGGUGUGAAAUCUCGGAGCUUAACUCCGAAACUGCAUUCGAUACUGCCGUGCUUGAGGACUGGAGAGGAGACUGGAAUUUACGGUGUAGCGGUGAAAUGCGUAGAUAUCGUAAGGAAGACCAGUGGCGAAGGCGGGUCUCUGGACAGUUCCUGACACUGAGACACGAAGGCCAGGGGAGCAAACGGG
rnacentral:rRNA from 1 species